rnacentral:rRNA from 1 species
GUCGACGGGAUUUAAUCUUUCGGGAUUAAUGAGAGUGGCGCACGGGUGCGUAACGCGUAUGCAACCUACCUUAUACUGAGGGAUAGCCCGGGGAAACUCGGAUUAAUACCUCAUGGUAAUAUGAAUUGGCAUCGAUUUAUAUUUAAAGAUUUAUUGGUAUAAGAUGGGCAUGCGUAGGAUUAGCUAGUUGGUAGGGUAAUGGCCUACCAAGGCGACGAUCCUUAGGGGUUCUGAGAGGAAGGUCCCCCACACUGGUACUGAGAUACGGACCAGACUCCUACGGGAGGCAGCAGUAGGGAAUAUUGGGCAAUGGACGGAAGUCUGACCCAGCCAUGCCGCGUGCAGGAAGAAGGCGUUAUGCGUUGUAAACUGCUUUUAUACGGGAAGAAAAGGCCCAUGCGUGGGACAUUGCCGGUACCGUAUGAAUAAGCACCGGCUAACUCCGUGCCAGCAGCCGCGGUAAUACGGAGGGUGCAAGCGUUGUCCGGAUUUAU